GCCUGAGUAGCUCAGGCAGUAGAGCACGUCUUUGGUAAAGACGAGGUCCGCAGUGCAAGUCUGCGCUCAGGCU
rnacentral:tRNA from 1 species